GAUUUGCAUAAUUCAAGAUGGUGGCACAGAGCAGCAAACAGAGAAGAGUACAAGUUAUUUCGCUCACAUGACAAAGUCUGCAGAUGCUGGAACUCCAAAACAAUUCACACGAAAUGCUGGAGCAACUCAGCAGGGUUCUUUUGAAGAUCCUGACCUGGAGUUACACACAGAUUUCGGCUCUUUGCGGGAAUGGGACCCAUUCUCGGGGUUCCACGACUGGCUGUUAUUCGACAUGCCAGGGGCUUGGCCUGGGAGUCUCACUCGUGUUUGGAAGCCUGAGAUCACAGGGCUCCGGAGACGGGUAGAUCGAGGGUCAGUGUCACGGCAGGAAACUCAUGUGUCGUCAGGAGGUCAGGAAAUCUUUUGCUGUGGGCCUGAAGACCUGAGGUCUUUGCGAUCUUCAGAUGGAGAGCUCGAUAAAAGCGAUGAAGCGGACUUUUAAGAUCAUAAACCAGUGGGUUGUUGUUAUGUCUCCCGCUGGCUGUGAGAAUGGGGGACACUUCCCUCUCCCUUGCCAGGGAGAGAGAGAACCUGUGGUUUGUCAAAUAUUGGAUGAAAUGUGAAGCCUUUGGGGUAACUUUGGUCUGUGUCUUUGCUAUCGUUUAGCACACGGUUGGGUUCAGUGAUGGUACCGACACGUUUUGUUUUUUCUGGUGGGUGGGGGGGGGGUCAUUGCUUGCUGCCGCUUACACAUCGGUGGGGGAGACCUUGGGGUUCUCAUGUUUAAGUGUCGUUCAUUCUCGGGGGCACUUCUCUGUUUUCGUGGAUUUUUACAAAGAAAAAGCAUUUCAGGAUGUAUAUUGUAUACAUUUCUCUGACAUUAAAUUGGACAUUUGAACUUUUGAAAACCUACAGCCAGAUGUUGACCUAGAGGGGACCACAGAAGAAAAAAAUGGUAGCUUCAACUAUAGCGAGUCAAGAAAUGGAUAUUGUGAGUUCCUUGGAGAAGAUUAAGGAGAGCAAUGGUCUGUAAAUGGUAUGAUUUAUACCUUUACUGAAAGGGGAAAGCAUCGUUGUAUAUGUGAAUGUAUGUAUACAUGCCCAAUGUAGACAGAGUGCUAAAUAAGUUAGUCAGUUUCACGUGCUUAAGCUGUUCUCUUUGUCACUUUCUGUUCAACAUUACCCCCAUUAUUCACAGUCACGGUUAAGAAAGCUGCACAGACGCUAUAGCAGCGAGAAUUCCUUCCUUAGGAUGAUGUCCUGGGACCAUUGACAUAAUUCUGGGACAUCGCAUCCAAAGAACAAUUCAAUACUCCCUCAAGCACUGGAGUGACUGCAGAUCUCUGCAUUGCAGGCCUCUGGAGUAAGACUUGAACUCGCAACAUUCAGAUUCAGAGAUCAGAGUGACGUUCACAAAACCACAGCUGAAACAACGACAAUUGCUUAAUCAAGUCAACACGCAGCAGCUCACAUUUGAACACAGAACACAGAAAAGUACAGCACUGGAAAUGUCCCUUCAGCCCACAAUUUUGUGCUGAACUAAUUAAGCUAACAAACUUAAUCUUGUCUUUCCACACAUGGUCCAUGUUCUUGCAUUCAUAUUCAUUUGCUUCAAACUAAGACAUAGGAGUAGAAUUAGUCCACCUGCCCCAUCAAAUCUACUGCACCAUUUGAUCAUGGUUGUAUGUUGCCACUCAAUCCCAUUUGUCUGUCUUCUCCCCAUAACCUUUGAAAUACUACCAAUUAAAUACCUAUCAACCUCUGCUUUAAGAAUAAUCAAUGACUUGUUCUCCUCAGCCGUCUGUGCCAAUGAAUUCCACAGACUCACCACCGUCUGGCUGAAAAAACUCCUUCUCAUCUUCAUUCUAAAGGAACGUCCUUCUGUUCUGAGUGUGCAUCAGGGAUCAAGGAACUUUGUUCACCACAUACUUCCACAUGCAUUAGGAAUUCGCUGUGGUACGUUGGACAGAGAGCAACAUACAACAAAAAAAAACACCAUUCAACAAUUAUAAAGAAUGAAGGAUUAUGUAAACAAUAAAAUUAGAGGUUAAAGGGCAGAUAAAAUGUGAAUAAAUAAAUACCUGCAUGUAUUUACAACGUAAACAGUUUAGAAAAAAUAGUGAUAAAUAUAUCAAGAUGAACGCCUUUAAUAAGUGUAAAAAUGUAA